GACUCCUCAACAAAUGCAACUAUGCAUGUGGUACCAUAUCAGAGCCGAAGCCCUCAUCGUUAUAGAAUGGUUAAAGCAUUCUUUUAUCAGGACAUGAGUCCUCAUCGUUAACAUCGUUUUGAACAACAUAGUGUUCCAUCGUUUUGAACGACAAGGCGUUCCAGGACCGAGGUCCUCAUCGUUUUUAUGCUUAUGCAACUGACUCCACUUGUGUAUAUCUACAUACAACUCAAAAACAAAUGCAUAUGUACUUAUAUGACUCACCACCCUUUAAUGCAACUGACUCCACUUGUGUAUAUCUACAUACAACUCAACAACAUCAACGACAACCACUACUCAUCAAUGCAUAUAUGUAAAUAUGACUUCACCUCGACAAUCCAAUUAAUAAUACUUCAACCUUUGAAAAGAAUUCAGCAACAUGUAUAAUUUAUUUAAAUAUAAAUAUACACCACAGUCAACAAUAAUCCAUCAUAAUUGAUCCAACGAUUUCAGAAAAUACACAAUUAAUCAUCUCCAGAUUCACUAAACUCAACAACGACAACAUAGGCAGCACAUAAACAUCUCAAGAUAUAACAAUAUCAAAUGAUAAUCAAUAUCAACUUAAACAUCUUAUAUAAUCCACAUAACGAAUAUAUUUCACAUUAACCAACAUUACCCAACAUUAGGUUAAAUACUCUUAAACACCUUAAUUUCACUCAUAUUACUUUUAGUUUUGAGCCUUGGAAUUAUCCCAUAAGUUUUGGAUUAACUUGGAAAUGGUUGUGCUGAAUUUUCAUAAGAUUUCCCUAAGACCUACUUGGAGUAUUUUCAUCAUAACUCCUAAACCAAAAAUCAUUUUAGAGUCAAACCAAAGCCAUUGGAAAGCUAACAAAAUUAUCUAAAACUUCCAUGUUUACACCCAAGUCCAAUUCAAAACAGAAACGUGUGAAAAAGACACAAGAACGCGAAAUAAGGAAUGCUGUCAAAAGGCAUUUCGCUUAAGCGAACGGUGCUUCGCUUAAGCGAACUACUUACAAUAGCUGUUCGCUUACAUCUCGCUUCCGGCUCGCUUAAGCGAACAGUCAUCGUUUCUGCAUAAUUUUUCACGGGUUUAACCCAUUUUUCACCCCAAAACUCCCAAUUUUGAUCUCCCAAUGCCCAAACAUGUUUCCAAAGAUUGUUUAUAAGUUCAUUAUACAAUUAGGCAUCUAAAGGAACAUAAAACAUGCAUCAACAACAACAAUUCAUCUCAUUCUCACAAUCUUGCAAUUUCCCCCAAUUUUCCUCCAACAAUCCUAACCUCUCCAAAUUCGGAUUACAGCAACAUUAUAAUUCCUAAAAUCAAUCUGAAUAUGAAUUCUAAGCAUAAUUAACAUGAAUUCUUACUCUUUUCUUCCAAAAUCAGUAUAGAACCCUAAUUCCCAAAUUCUUAUUUUUCAAGAACAAUUCUAAUCAAAACAAUUUUCAGAAACCAUAUAUUAUAAUCAUUGAAGGUUAGUCUCACCCUUACCUUAAUUUAGAAGAAAACGCACGAACAAUCUACAGCAAAAACGAUCAUCUCUUGCUCUAGCUCUCCCUUUGGCUUGGUUUUCUCUCCCAAAACUUGUUUCACGUAAAACUGCUUCUGACCUUUUCCUUUCCUAACUCCCAAAACUAUAACUUCCCCUUUUUCAUUAAACUCCCUUAAUUUUUAUUAGAUCCUAAUUAACUCCCACACUCCAAAAUAAUUCUAUUUCUCCACUUAUUCUAUUAAAUAAUGAAAAUAACCAUUUAAUAAAAUACAUCACACCACAAAAUCAACAUAAAUCAUUUAAAAUCAUAUAAAAGACUUUAAAUCAACUAAAAAUAAUUAAAUAACAAUUAGGGCGUUACAACUCUACCCCCGUUAAAAGAAUUUCGUCCUCGAAAUUCAAAGCACACAAGAAAAUGAAUUCAAUUAUUGGUUAAAUAUCUUAAACUAUAUAUAGCCAAAUAGAAACUUCAAACAAAACAUACAAACCACAUUAAAGUCAAUCAAUCAAACAUGAUCACAUAAUAAAUAUAACCAUUAAUCAGUAAACACAACGACAAUCAAGACAACGUAAGACAGUAUUACAACUGUUACUCAACAAGACACGACUCAACUACUUGGCCGGACGGACCAACCUGCUCUGAUACCAAUUGUAACACCCCGUUUUCCCAACAUAAAAAUUUCAUAAAUUAAUCAGAGUAAAACACCUUAAACGGAAUGUUACACUUCUUUUCUUAAAAAUCACAAAUGGAAUAAUUAGAUAAUUAUCCUUCAAAUUUCAACAACGUAAUAAUUAAAACUUUGCAGCGGAAUUAAUUUAACGACAAUAAAAGCUUCAACAACAUGUUCCAAAAUUGAUACAUAAAGGAAUGAUAAACUUAGCAACAAUUUCCCAUCCCGUUACGUAUCAGAGCCCUAAGACACUUGAGCCACCACUCCUACUAAACUUUAAUACCUGCAAGUUACUCAUACGAAGGACAACAUUUUCAAGCAGAAGGGGUGAGAUUCACAAUCAAUAAUAAUAAUAUAUAAUUCAUCAAAUGCAUCUAACAACUUAAACUCCAUCAAUUAGUAAUAAUAAUUCUUUUAACGACUCCUAAACCAUAUCAUGUACUCAUCAUAUCAACAGUCAUAACUCAAUAUCAUAAACAAUCAUCAUAACAGCAUCAUUUAACUUCAUAAUCAACAUCUUAAUCAUAAUCAUAUAACAUCAUACUCAUAAUUCGUAUACAACAUGACAACUUUAUAAUCAAUGACAUAAACAACGUAACAACAUCAUAUUCAUAGUUCAUAUACACAUAACAACAUCAUUAAUUCGUAUUAACAUUCUCCACUAAGCACCUUAUUAACAACUCAUGAAUAGGGGACAACUUAGCAACUAUACGUAACAUCAUUAUUUCAUAAUAAUAAUUAUUCAUCAAACAUUCCAUUAGCAAUUCAUGAAUAAAAGACAACUUAUCAACGUAACAUAACCAUCAUCAAGUACAUUUAACAACUCAUAGAUAACAUCACAUAAUCAUCAUCACAACAUUCAUAAUCAUCAUCAUGUAACAUUUAACAACUCAUAGAUAACAUCACAUAAUCAUCAUCACAACAUUCAUAAUCAUCAUCAUGUAACAUCAUAACAACCUCAUAUUCAACAUCAUAAACAGUCAUCAUAACAUCGUAAUCAAUAUCAUAAACAUCUUCUCAUAAUAUUAUAAACGACACAACAUAAUCAUCACAUCAUAACAAUAUAAACAACUACAUAUAUUUUACAAUAAUGUUCUUACUCCUUUAACUUUAGUAACAGUUACUAAUUCAACCAACAACGACGAUAACUACAAUUAUCCAAUAUAUGUAUAUAUUUCAUAAUGAACAAUAUCAUCAAUAAUAGAUAUCUAACUCAUCAAUUAAAUCUAACACCCUGUCAUAAUAAUAAUUCAUCAAUAUAUAAGUAAAUCAUCAUUAACAACAUCAACCAAAUGAUAAUUAAAACCAACAACAACGACUCAUGCAACAACUCGACACCACCGCUAAGACUCAUGCAAGACAUGACAACUCCACUAAGACUCCUCAACAAAUGCAACUAUGCAUGUCGUACCAUAUCAGAGCCGAAGCCCUCAUCGUUAUAGAAUGGUUAAAGCAUUCUUUUAUCAGGACAUGAGUCCUCAUCGUUAACAUCGUUUUGAACAACAUAGUGUUCCAUCGUUUUGAACGACAAGGUGUUCCAGGACCGAGGUCCUCAUCGUUUUUAUGCUUAUGCAACUGACUCCACUUGUGUAUAUCUACAUACAACUCAA
rnacentral:lncRNA from 1 species